AUGACCCCUUCAACAACCAGUUCAUGGAGGAUGUCAUCUAUGAGGGUCGUGGUGAGGCCUUCUAGAUGGGUGGUCAUGGUGGUGCCUACGAUCCCGAGACCCAGAGUAAGGAUGGCCGCGGCCAGUACGUUGCUGAUGAAGACAUUGAGCCCCACGAUCAUGGUGACUCGUGACAUGAAGAUGAUGACAUCUAUUGCGAAGGUGAAGGUGAUGAAGAAGAGGAAGGCAUCAAUAUUGGGGGCGAGCAUUGUUCAUCGACGAGCUCACACAAAGAGCGGAAGCACAAAAGAGGAAGAAGAGCAUUCGUGCGGGAUCAUACUCACAAGAGGAGGACAAGUUGAUUUGCCAAAGUUGGAUAGAGGUUGGUCAAGAUCCGAGGAUCGGUGUGCAACAAAAGGGACUUGUUUUUUGGACAAGAGUUCACAAAACAUUCCAUGA
rnacentral:rRNA from 1 species